rnacentral:misc_RNA from 1 species
AAAGAAUAAAAGACAUGUCUCCAUCAAGGUUUCCAUCAGCAUAACUCACAAACUAACUGAUGGUCGCCAAUCACAGUUCACCACAUACAUACAGCAAAUUCAGGCACAAAAAUUGCACGAGCUUCUAAUGCGUCAUGCCUGGACCACCAAUAGGCAAUCAAACAUUUCCUUUAUUUAUUUAUUUCCUAAAAUUUUCUUAUGAAGAAUAAAUCCAAUCAGAGCAACUUAUCUUGUUGGUAAGGAAGUAGUCUC